rnacentral:rRNA from 1 species
UACAGAGGUCCCAAGCGUUGUUCGGAUUCAUUGGGCGUAAAGGGUGUGUAGGUGGCGCCGUAAGUCGGGUGUGAAAUUUCGGAGCUUAACUCCGAAACUGCAUUCGAUACUGCGGUGCUUGAGGACUGGAGAGGAGACUGGAAUUCAUGGUGUAGCAGUGAAAUGCGCAGAUAUCAGGAGGAACACCGGUGGCGAAGGCGGGUCUCUGGGCAACAACUGACGCUGAGGAGCGAAAGCGUGGGGAGCAAACAGG